AGCUCCAAUAGCGUAUAUUAAAGUUGUUGCGGUUAAAAAGCUCGUAGUUGGAUUUCGGCGAUCAGGGGCCGGUGAUAUAUUUGUAUCUACUGGCCCAUUUGGUCGUAUUUUUGAAAGAGGGUUUGGGGUCCCCUUCACUGGGUGUCCUAGGUCGCUUUCAGGUUUACUUUGAAAAAAUUAGAGUGCUCAAAGCAGGCUUUAACGCUUGAAUAUUCGUGCAUGGAAUAAUAGAAUAGGAAGUUCGUUUCUAUUUUGUUGGUUUUAGGAUAACGACUUAAUGAUUAAUAGGGACAAUCGGGGGAAUUAGUAUUCAAACGACAGAGGUGAAAUUCUUGGACCGUUUGAAGACUAACUACUGCGAAAGCAUUUUCCAAGAGUGUUUUCAU
rnacentral:rRNA from 1 species